AAGCGGAAUGAAACCUUCAAGGCUGCGGCCCAGGGGCCUGAGGCAGACACCCAGGAGCAGGAGGUAAAUGAAGACUUUUUCAUCCCUUGCUGGAGCCACCAACCCAAACAGAGCUUGUUCCCUCUCUGUUCUGCCUAUACCAGCUCGGAGGGAGAGGGAGUGUCAUCUGCCAGGAGAGACUGAAGGGACCAGGGAAAGCCCUCCCAGCGCAUCCCCCAACUCAGCGCCUGAGCAUUCCCCUUUAGCAAAGCUUCCUUUGAGAGCCUCUCUGCACAGCUGUCUUGGGGAAGGGUUUCACGUCUCUGCAGCUCCAGCUGCAGGGGGCAGUAGGGUUUUGGGUUUGAAAGUAUCUGAGAAACAUAAAGUCUCAGGGAAGAUGGAAGGCAAGUGGGGUGGGGGCUGGGGAGGAUAUCUGUGGUUUGAGUUCAGAUUUGAGCUGAACUCUGGCUUGCUGGGUGACUGCUGAGUCAUUUGACCUCUCUGGGCCUCAGUUUCCUCACUUAUACAAUAGGAAUAAUGGUAACUAACCUAUCAUAAGGUCUCGAUCAUGUCAGUCAGCUUCCUGUAGAAGCCCCAGGGAAGCCCAACACACAGAAUCCCUGCCACAGCAGGUGGGCACAGGGCCCCAGGCCCUGGGAGGAUGGGCGGAAGAGGGUCACCAAGGGCCCAUUCCUGCCCAACUCCCCUUAACCCACAGCUGCAGUCUGAGGAGCUGGGCCUCCGGGCACCGCAGUGGGUCCGGGACAAGAUGGUGACCAUGUGCAUGCGCUGCCAGGAGCCCUUCAACGCUCUGACGCGCCGUCGCCACCACUGCCGGGCCUGCGGCUAUGUGGUGUGUGCCAGGUGCUCCGACUACCGGGCCGAGCUGAAAUACGACGACAACAGGCCCAACCGAGUCUGCCUCCACUGCUACGCAUUCCUCACCGGAAACGUGCUGCCUGAGGCCAAGGAGGACAAGAGGCGGGGCAUCCUGGAGAAAGGGUCCUCGGCCACGCCUGACCAGAGCCUGAUGUGCAGCUUCCUGCAGCUCAUCGGGGACAAGUGGGGCAAGAGCGGCCCCCGGGGCUGGUGUGUGAUCCCUCGGGAUGACCCCCUCGUGCUCUAUGUCUACGCUGCCCCUCAGGUAAGGCCACCACCUGCCCGCCCCCUAUCAGGCCCUGGCCUUCCCACAGCGUGUGUGUGAAGGGGGUCAGGGGUGAUGUCAGAUAGGGAAACUGAGGCCCAAUGAGGAUGUGGUAUCCUGGAGUCUCAAGGUUGGUAGGUUUCAGAAUUGGGCCCUGACUCUAGGUCACCACUGCUUUGCCCUCAGAGGCAGCCAGUUCUUCUCUCCUCUUCCUCGAUGUCCUUCACCAGCCCACUCCCAACCCAUGGGGGUUUAGGGUGUGAGCUGCGCGUGCAUGGCUGUUGUUCUGGGGCAGUAGGACUGAGAGGGGACAGUGGCCCACUGCUCUCUCCUCCCCCCAGGACAUGAGGGCUCACACCUCUAUCCCCCUGCUGGGCUACCAGGUGACUGUUGGGCCCCAGGGGGACCCUCGGGUCUUCCAGCUACAGCAGUCAGGCCAGCUCUACACCUUCAAGGCCGAGACGGAGGAGCUGAAGGGCCGCUGGGUGAAGGCCAUGGAGCGGGCGGCCAGUGGCUGGAGCCCCAGCUGGCCCAACGGCGGGGACCUGUCUGACUGAGCCACUGCCAGCCACUGCCAGCCACUCUCCUGCCUACCUCUCCCCACCCUGAACCCAGCUCCUGCCACAGACUGACCCUGUGGCCUCAGUGUCCCACUGCCCCAAGCGGUGCUUUCAGAGAAUUGAUUCAGCCAUCUGCGCCCAGGCCACGUGUCCCGAUCUGGGAUUCAGAAAAUAUGGGUCCAUUCCUUUCUAGAAAGGGGACAACCAAGUGUCUCAGUUUGCCUUGCGGGGAGGGGGCUCCUGGGCCAUGGGACUUCCAGUGCUAAAACUGGGAAAGCCCCAGGUAACCCCGGACUGGUGGUCACCGUAGUGUGGUUUUUCAUUUGUAUCUCCUGGGGAGCUUUUAAAGAGUACUGGUGAAAAACACAUAGUAAAUUAAUUUUAAAAAUGUAAAAAACAAUGCCUGUACUGAAUACCACCAACAAUUUAAUUGGUCUGAGAUGGGGGAGGCAUGGGGUCUUUUUUUUUUUUUUUUUUUGAGACAAAGUCUUACUCUGUUGCCCAGGCUGGAGUGCACAAACAUGGCUCACAACAGCCUCGAUCUCCCGGGCUCCAGUGAUCCUCCCACCUCAGCCUCCCAAGUAGCUGGGACUAUAGGUGUGUGCCACUGUGCCAAGCUAAUUUUUUUAUUUUUUGUAGAGGUGGGAUUUCACCAUGUUACUCAGGCUGGUCUCAAACUCCUGGCCUCAAGCGAUGCUCCCACCUCCACCUCCCAAAGUGCUGGGAUUACAGGCGUGAGCCACCAUACCUGGCGCAUGCAUAUUUUUUAAGAGUGCCCACUGGAGUCUAAUAUAUAGCCUGGGUUACCUGGGAUGAAGAAUAAAGAGAGCAAACUACCGCAACCAAUGGUUGAGCCCCUGUCAAAUGCCAGUCACGAUAGUACUACUAAUAAUAAUAAGCAUGUGUUGGGCCAGG
rnacentral:sRNA from 1 species